AGGAGCUUAUAGAUAAUCAAAAAGAAGAUAGAAGACAGUACAGAAAGAAUUCUGACAUUUAAAAAGUUGAAAACACUAAAAUCAACUUCCAUCUGUUUUAAACCCGGUAUCACAAACGAAGAAUCACGAUUCUGAGUGUGCCGCAGCUCCAUGGCAGAUGUGCAUUUAUUUCAAGGCAAUUCACAGGAGAAAAAAACGUGACAUCUACAUAUAGUGAAAUUACAAUAUUACAAAUAACUUGUUAUCAACAAAUAGUGCCUAUGAGGAGAUUCCCUGUGCUCUUGUACAUUUAACUCGAAAGCUAGGAAACUUCCUUUUAAAAUAUACCAGUGCCAAUGUAAAAACAGUCCU